GGGCUCGUAGCUCAGUGGGAGAGCGCUCGCCUCACACGCGAGAGGUCGCUGGUUCGAAACCAGCCGAGCCCACCG
rnacentral:tRNA from 1 species